rnacentral:rRNA from 1 species
GUACACUCCUGCGGGAGGCAGCAGUGGGGAAUAUUGCACAAUGGGCGCAAGCCUGAUGCAGCCAUGCCGCGUGUAUGAAGAAGGCCUUCGGGUUGUAAAGUACUUUCAGCGGGGAGGAAGGCGAUAAGGUUAAUAACCUUGUCGAUUGACGUUACCCGCAGAAGAAGCACCGGCUAACUCCGUGCCAGCAGCCGCGGUAAUACGGAGGGUGCAAGCGUUAAUCGGAAUUACUGGGCGUAAAGCGCACGCAGGCGGUCUGUCAAGUCGGAUGUGAAAUCCCCGGGCUCAACCUGGGAACUGCAUUCGAAACUGGCAGGCUAGAGUCUUGUAGAGGGGGGUAGAAUUCCAGGUGUAGCGGUGAAAUGCGUAGAGAUCUGGAGGAAUACCGGUGGCGAAGGCGGCCCCCUGGACAAAGACUGACGCUCAGGUGCGAAAGCGUGGGGAGCAAACAGGAUUAGAUACCCCAGUAGUCCC